rnacentral:rRNA from 1 species
UACGUAGGUGGCAAGCGUUGUCCGGAUUUACUGGGCGUAAAGAGCGCGCAGGCGGUCGAUUAAGUCGAAUGUGAAAGCCCCCCGGCUCAACUGGGGAGGGUCAUUCGAUACUGAUCGACUUGAAGGCAGGAGAGAGAAGUGGAAUUCCCGGUGUAGUGGUGAAAUGCGUAGAUAUCGGGAGGAACACCAGUGGCGAAGGCGCAUCCUGGACGGCAUUGACGCUGAGGCGCGAAAGCCAGGGGAGCAAACGGG